GCUAGACCUAGUCCUAGAAAUAACUAAUUAAACUAUCCAUAGCACCCACAAAACAUUUGUUAGUCCUAGUAUAGGUGAUAGAAAAGACAGACCUUAGGCACAAUAGAGGUAGUACCGUGAGGGAACGUUGAAAGAUCCAAUCCUGCAAGCAAUAAAAAGCAAAGACUACACCUUCUACCUUUUGCAUAAUGAUUUAGCUAGUUAAACCGGACAUAAUGAAUUAAAGCCCGCCUUCCCGAAAUUAAGUGAGCUAUUGUAGAACAGUUAUUAGAACGAACUCGUCUGUGUAGCAAAACAGUGAGAUGAUUCCACAAUAGAGGUGAAAAGCCUAUCGAACUUAAUGAUAGCUGGUUGUCCAAAAAACGAAUUUUAGUUCAACUUUAAAUUUAACACAAGUAUUAAUAAACACUAUUUAAAUUUAAAUGUUAUUCAAAAGAGGGGACAACUCUUUUGAUAUGUGAACAAACUUCCCUAGAGGAUAAUGGACUCCCAUUACAAAACAAUAGUAGGCCUAAGAGCAGCCAUCAAUUAAGGAAAGCGUUUAAAGCUCAAACCCAUCUAUUAUUUUGAUGCCAUAAAUCCAAUCAAAAUCCCUAGUUUAUAUAUUGGACAAUUCUAUUAAUGUUUAGAAGAUAUAAUGCUAAUAUGAGUAACCAGAACAAAAUUCUCCUAGCACAAGCAUAAAUAUAGAUUGGAACAACCACUUACACUUAAUCAAACCAAUAACUACAACCACAUACUAGCACCCUAUUACACACAUUGUUAACCCAACCCAGGUGUGCACACUAAAGGAAGAUUAAAAGGAAUAAAAGGAACUCGGCAAACAUGGACCCCGCCUGUUUACCAAAAACAUCACCUCUAGCAUUUACCCGUAUUAGAGGCACUGCCUGGCCAGUGAGUUGUAACUUUAACGGCCGCGGUAUCCUGACCGUGCAAAGGUAGCAUAAUCACUUGUCUCUUAAUUGGGGACUAGUAUGAAUGGCAUAACGAGGGCUCAACUGUCUCUUAUUCCCAAUCAGUGAAAUUGACCUUCCCGUGCAGAGGCGGGAAUUAUUAUACAAGACGAGAAGACCUGUGGAGCUUAAGUCAAAUAACUCAAGACAUACUGACACACAACCGACCGGAACAACCUGUAUAACCCCCUGAGUUAUGGUCUUUGGUUGGGGUGAUCUCGGAGCAUAAAACAACCUCCGAAUGAAAAUAACCAAGAUUAACUAAUCUAAGUGUAAUAACACCAGUAAUUGACCCAUCUUUUGAUCAACGGAACAAGUUACCCCAGGGAUAACAGCGCAAUCCUAUUUGAGAGGCCAUAUCGGAAAUAAGGGUUUACGGCCUCGAUGUUGGAUCAGGACAUCCAAAUGGUGCAACCGCUAUUAAAGGUUCGUUUGUUCAACGAUUAAAGUCCUACGUGAUCUGAGUUCAGACCGGAGAAAUCCAGGUCGGUUUCUAUCUGUAAAUUCAUUUCUCCCAGUACGAAAGGACAAGAGAAAUAGGGCCAACGUACCAAAUAAGCCCUAGAACCAACAUAUGAAUAAAUCUAAAUAUACUAAGCCAAUUCAUAUACACUCUAGAACAGGU
rnacentral:rRNA from 1 species